rnacentral:rRNA from 1 species
GACGAACGCUGGCGGCGUGCUUAACACAUGCAAGUCGAACGGAAAGGCCCUGCUUUUGUGGGGUGCUCGAGUGGCGAACGGGUGAGUAACACGUGAGUAACCUGCCCUUGACUUUGGGGUAACUUCAGGAAACUGGGGCUAAUACCGGUUAGGAGCUCCUGCUGCAUGGUGGGGGUUGGAAAGUUUCGGCGGUUGGGGAUGGACUCGCGGCUUAUCAGCUUGUUGGUGGGGUAGUGGCUUACCAAGGCUUUGACGGGUAGCCGGCCUGAGAGGGUGACCGGCCACAUUGGGACUGAGAUACGGCCCAGACUCCUACGGGAGGCAGCAGUGGGGAAUAUUGCACAAUGGGCGGAAGCCUGAUGCAGCAACGCCGCGUGCGGGAUGACGGCCUUCGGGUUGUAAACCGCUUUCGCCUGUGACGAAGCGUGAGUGACGGUAAUGGGUAAAGAAGCACCGGCUAACUACGUG